AGCGACGUAGUGUAGCGGUUAACACGCCUGCCUGUCACGCAGGAGAUCGCGGGUUCGAUUCCCGUCGAGACCGCCA
rnacentral:tRNA from 1 species